rnacentral:rRNA from 1 species
UGGGGAAUAUUGCACAAUGGGCGCAAGCCUGAUGCAGCCAUGCCGCGUGUAUGAAGAAGGCCUUCGGGUUGUAAAGUACUUUCAGCGGGGAGGAAGGGAGUAAAGUUAAUACCUUUGCUCAUUGACGUUACCCGCAGAAGAAGCACCGGCUAACUCCGGGCCAGCAGCCGCGGUAAUACGGAGGGUGCAAGCGUUAAUCGGAAUUACUGGGCGUAAAGCGCACGCAGGCGGUCUGUCAAGUCGGAUGUGAAAUCCCCGGGCUCAACCUGGGAACUGCAUUCGAAACUGGCAGGCUAGAGUCUUGUAGAGGGGGGUAGAAUUCCAGGUGUAGCGGUGAAAUGCGUAGAGAUCUGGAGGAAUACCGGUGGCGAAGGCGGCCCCCUGGACAAAGACUGACGCUCAGGUGCGAAAGCGUGGGGAGCAAACAGG